rnacentral:rRNA from 1 species
UACGUAGGUGACCAGCGUUGUCCGGAUUUACUGGGCGUAAAGAGCGCGCAGGCGGUCGUUCAAGUCGAGUGUGAAAGCCCCCGGCUCAACUGGGGAGGGUCACUCGAUACUGAUCGACUCGAAGGCAGGAGAGGGAAGCGGAAUUCCCGGUGUAGUGGUGAAAUGCGUAGAUAUCGGGAGGAACACCAGUGGCGAAGGCGGCUUCCUGGCCUGUUCUUGACGCUGAGGCGCGAAAGCUAGGGGAGCAAACGGG